GUUUUAUAGUGCUACGGCGGAGUCCGACCGGUGAGGUCCUGCGGAUUAAGCGCGGUUCGGUGCAACGACCCGCGAGCUCCGCUUCAGGGAGGAAGAACGGCGAGCUGCGCGGCAACCACGCGGGUUGUUACGCGUUGGAGCCGGGAAGAAGCACAGUAGACCAGAGGUCUCCACGUGCGGGCCCGAUCGGUCACAGUCACAAGCACGCGCACAGGCAAGUGGCUGGCGGCGCUAGGGUAAGGCACGACAAUGGGCCAGCGCAGGGAGAAAAAUGGAGAUGGGCCAGCGCGAGGAGAAUUCGGCCCAAACGGCGAUUUUCUUUUUUUUUUUCCUUUUAUUUUCUGUUUCCAUUUCCUUUUCCUUUAUUUUUUUUUUCAUAUUUGAAUUCUUAAAUUUGAAUCCAAAUUUGAUUGCAAACUUUGAAUUUGAACUAGAUGUACUAGUCCAAG
rnacentral:lncRNA from 7 species